GCCUGGGUGGCUCAGUCGGUUGAACAUCUGACUUUGGCUCAGGUCAUGAUCUCACCACUUGUGGGUUCGAGCCCCGCGUCGGGCU
rfam:Felis catus isolate Cinnamon breed Abyssinian chromosome C1, whole genome shotgun sequence.